rnacentral:rRNA from 1 species
UACGAAGGGUGCAAACGUUGCUCGGAAUUAUUGGGCGUAAAGCGCACGUAGGCGGUGUGUCGCGUCGGCCGUGAAAACCUGCAGCUUAACUGUGGGCUUGCGGUCGAUACGGGCAUCACUGGAGUUCGGCAGGGGAGACUGGAAUUCCUGGUGUAGCGGUGAAAUGCGCAGAUAUCAGGAGGAACACCGGUGGCGAAGGCGGGUCUCUGGGCCGAUACUGACGCUGAGGAGCGAAAGCGUGGGGAGCGAACAGG